AUGAUUACGAAGUUAGGCGUACCACACGGCCAUCCUGAACUUGGACCACGUGGAUGGACGGCAGGGCCAUCUUUCUCAGCUCGUUGUUAUCAACCUCCCGCACCUGGGCCCAGACUUGAUGAAGCUUCAACCCUUGGGACACAUAUGAUAUUCAAAGGUUUAGGCUGGGAGAAUCAUGAGGUUGAAUACUCUCCAAUGCCUCUUGUGUAUCUUGAAUGGGGUACUAAUGUCUUGAAGAAAUAUCAUACCUACCUGAAGGGGAGUGAGGAAGGUGUGGAUUACGUCUAUGGAGCCAUUUAUUGCUCUUUAGGCGACUAUUCUGUCUCCCCUUCUCUUUUAAGGUCUUUAUUGGAGAAAUGGGAUCCCAACACCAACACGUUUUUGUUCUCGUCUGGCGAGCGUACAGUCACACUUCUUGAUAUGCAUCAGAUCGUGGGGUUGCCCCUUGAUGGUGAACCUUAUGAAGAAUAUGUUCCCCUAGCUGAUGAGUUGGAUCCUUCGACUCUUUUGUACCCCAACUUCCUGCCUUGGCUCCUAGAAAUUUGGACCAAGCUUGCUGUGGGUGGCAAAUCCCUUGAGGAGGCAGAGACACCUAUUACAGAUCAAUGGAGAGUGGUCCUCUAUAAUUAUGUAAAUGAUGUUGUUGCUGCUCAACCGGUGAAGUCUAAAGAGCUACGACGAGGCAAUGUACUAAAACAGAAUGCCAUAGCUGGGUCCUCCUCCGCUCAUCCGCUAUCAGUGGAUAAUGAUAUCUCAGACACUGCCCCAUCCGCUAGCGGAAAGAGACGCAGACAAUCUACACCACCUCAUGUGGAACAGGAAGAAAGGCUGCCCUUGAAGCGUAAACUUGAUUUCGCCCAAGAAUCCAAUUUUCCUGAACCAAUAACAUUGGAUGGUUGCGAACCAGAAAUUCGCCACUCACAAGACCCUGAGGUGAUGGUAGUUUCAAGGAAAGAUGCACAGAUGGACUGCAGGUUCAUCAAGGACACGUUUAUGGAGGCUACAGAUUUCGUGGUAAAACGAGCCCUCGAAGGACUAAACGACUCUACCCUCGGUGAUCCCAAGCGACGCAUCAUGCUUGAGAGCGUUUCUCAGACGUUGCCCACGCAAAUGCCUAAGGUAGCUAAGGUGCAGGCCAUGUUUUUCGGGCUUAUUGACCUUUCUAGGAAGUUGGAGGCUGGCCAGACUAAGUUCACGGAGGAAUCUGAGCAAGAUGAGCAUGUUGUUGCCGAAGUAGGACUUAAGAUUAAGUCUGGCCAUGAGGUUUCCAAGACCAUAAUUAAGGACUUAUCUGCCAUAGAAAAGAAGUGCGCUGAAAUGGAGGCACGGGAAGCAGAGCUGAAGGCCCAGCUUGAAGAGGUUACUAUUACUUUGCACAAGCUUAAACUGGAAAUGGAACGGCGCCGGCAAGCACAUGAUGCCCAUAAAUCUGAACAGAAGAACUUGGUGAAGACUCUACAUGAUACCAAUGCUGGCAAACGUACAAGGCUUGCUAAAUUUGAACAAAAAACGGCAGAUUUAAAGACUGAAGCAAGUCAGUUGUUGAACAACUUGCAGAACUAG
rnacentral:rRNA from 1 species